AAAGGGUUUGGUGGCUUAUGUUCCUGAGUAGAGGGUCAACCACCGGUUGGGGUCGGAUACCCACCGGUAUCCGAAGAUAAAAUAUGUGCCGCCAUCUAGCAGUAUUAGUUAUUACUUCUUCAUACCGACUGA